GUUUGGUCUGUCUCUGGUGGGGUUGGUCUCGUCUGGUGGGGUUUGGUCUCUGGUGGGGCUGGUCUCUGGUGUGGUUGGUCUCUGGUGGGGUUGGUCUGUCUCUGGUGGGGUUGGUCUGUCUCUGGUGGGGUUGGUCAGGAGAAGGCCACACACCACGGGCCAGACUGUGUAUGGUAGGGGUGGGACCAAGGUGCCACUGAGCUUUUACGUUUAGGUGGCAAAGAAGAUGAUGUCAUUCAUAAAAGCAGGAAGGCAUUAGUUCAUUUGAGGAACAGAAAGAGUGCAGUGCAUCUGAUGAGCGGGGAGAGGCGUUUCAGAUGAAGAGACAGGCUGGGACCAGGUCAUGUAGCCUGGUAGUCUCUUGGGGAAUUAUUCCAAGAACAAUGGGAAGCCCUCAGAGGGCCAGGCAGGAGGUUCUGGGUCUGGUUUGUCUUUGAAAAUUAUGCGUAGCACACAGAUUUAAGGGGGCCGGAGGCCAGGCAUGGUGGCUCACGCCUGUAAUCCCAGCACUUUGGGAGGCGGAGGAGGGCAGAUCAUGAGGUCGGGAGUUCGAGACCAGCCUGGCCAACAUGGUGAAACCCCAUCUCUACUAAAAAUACAAAAAUUAGCCCGGCAUGGUGGUGCACAUCUGUAAUCCCAGCUACUUGGGAGGCUGACGCAGGAGAAUUGCUUGAACCCAUGAGGCGGAGGUUGCGGUGAGCAGAGACCACGCCAUUGCACUCCAGGCUGGGUGACAAGAGCAAGACUCCCUCUCAAAAAAAAAAAGCAGGGAGGGUGGCUGGGGGGCAGGAAUGGGACCAGGAGACCAGUGACGGGCCAAAGUAGUUUAGAGAUGGUGGUGACUUUGAGUGGUGGUGGAGAAGAAGAAGGGGGCAGAUUCCAUAGCUGUCUUGAAGGCAGAAGUGUCAGGAUUUGCCGUGGGAGGAAGGGAGAAGGAGGUGAAGGUAGUGCCCAGGCUUGGGGCUGCGCAAGGCAUGGUGCUGGCCUCCACUGAGAUGGGGAGAUGGAGAACACCUUCUGGAGUAGGUAGAAACCAGUUUUGUUCUGGCUGUCUUCUGCUGUGGCACUCAUCUGUAGCCACCAAGUAGGUGGCUGAGGAUGCACACUGAAACUUCCUAAAGAGAGAAACGAACAUGUACCUUUGUGGGUUAUCAACGUGCCCCCAUACUUAAGAGUGUGGGGCCGGGCGUGGUGGCUCACGCCUGUAAUCCCAGCACUUUGGGAGGCCGUGGCGGGUGGAUCACGAGGUCAGGAGAUGGAGACCAUCCUGGCUAACAUGGUGAAACCCCGUCUUUACUAAAAAAUACAAAAAAUUAGCCAGGCAUGGCGGCACGAGCCUGUAGUCCCAGCUAGUCGGGAGGCUGAGGCAGGAGAAUGGCGUGAACCCGGGAGGCGGAGCUUACAGUGAGCCGAGAUCGCACCACUGCACUCCAGCCUGGGCAACAGAGCCAGACUCCGUCUCAAAAAAAAAAAAAAAAAAAAAAAGAGUGUGGAUGGAGGAGCAGCUCUGAUCAGUGAGGAGGAGGGGCAGGGAGGUGGAAGGAAACCUGGGAGAGGGGCCACCAUAGUCCCAGGAAAGACUUGAAGGACGGUGUGGUCAGCUGUGUCGGAUACCGCUGAGAGGACCAGUCAGACAAGCGCAGAGGAAAGCCCGGUGGACUUGGGCACGUGAGGUCGCCGGCGAAGCUGACAAGAGCAGGCUUGUGAACUGCUUGAGGAUGGGUGGAGCAGCACUGGGAGCAGCGGCAGGAGGUGAGGCAGUGGCUGGACAAGAUGCAGCCCCGGGUGCGAGCAUGCUUGUCCGCAGAGGGAGUGACUCCGUGGGGAGGGAGAGCCAAUGAUGCUGACGAGGGGAGGCAGCAAAGGAGGGGUCCAGGCCGGGUACGGUGGCUCAUGCUUGUAAUGCCAGCACUAUGGGAGGCCGAGGCAGGAGAAUCACUGGAGCCCAGGAGUUCGAGACCAGCCUAGGUAACAUAGGGAAACCCUGUGUCAAUCAGUCAAUCAGUGAGUGGUCCUGCACAGCCCAGGCUCUCUGAUUAAUGCUGCCACCACAGUUCCCAUCCGCUGGGUUUGAAGGGAAAGUGAAACUUCCAAAUCCCACAAAGGCCCUGGCUCCUGAGCCUCACCUCUUUGAUUGAGUGUAAAUUAUUCCCACUUGGCUUCUCAUUUUAUUGUCACAACAAGCCCUGUGAGUUUCAGGGGAUUAAAUGAGCUGCAUAAGCACCAGCUGAGUGCUAGUAAGUGGCAAAGCCACGAUUUGAAGCCAGGUCUGAGCUGUCUCCAGAGCACUUCCUCUCAAUCCCCAUGUCAUACUGCUUCCCGCAGGCUUCUUACUUCGAGCAGUCUUAGGAUCAGGUCACCUGCAAUCUCUGUUCCCAAGGGGAUGGAUUAGGCAGGCAGAUGGGAUUCCUUCCCAAUCAUUGUUUCUUAUGGGCAAUUCCUACCUCUAGUACUUUCGAGACAAACUUAAUAUCAGUCCUCCAGGCUUCCUUCCUACCCAGGAAUGAUGCUUUUUGAGCGUUUCCUCACAUGCCUGACGGUCUACUUACAUGCCGCCAGAGACAGAAAGCUCACUAUCUCCAUGAGUAACCCAUUCUAGGCAGUAGGCUUUGCAUGACAGCUUAGAGUCUAUGCUCUUAAGUUGCUUUGGCUGAAUCUCAGUUCUGCUGCCUACUAGCAUCCUGUGCUUCAGUUUCCUCACCUGUAAAAUGGUAAUAACAGCCUGGCACAGUGGUCCAUCCCUC
rnacentral:lncRNA from 1 species